rnacentral:misc_RNA from 1 species
GUGGUGUUUGGAUCGUCCCUGCCGGCUGGCUCCGUGCCCGUCCACCGAACGGUCGGCGGGCGAUCCGCUUCGGUCGCGCUGGGUGGUAUGGUUCCCCAGAGGCCGGUUCUUGUGCUGCCUACCCCUUCAGGGGAAGCGGGCCGCUUGAUGCAAGCCUCCAUCCCGCGCCCUGCAACGGGCGCAGGAGGACAACGGAGCACCCCCCGCGUUCCACCGAGCCCCCUCGGUCGCGUGGCGCGCGGGGACGUGCGAUGCUCUCGGACCCAGCGAACGCCGUGGGCGAGGACUCACGUCCCAGUCCCGAUAGAAGCUCCCACAUAAUGCAUGACGGCCGCUCCCGUCCCCCGACCGCCCCGGAAGGCGCGGGGGCGAGGCGCGGCGUCGCGGAGGAAUGCUACCUGGUUGAUCCUGCCAGUAGUCAUAUGCUUGUCUCAAAGAUUAAGCC